rnacentral:rRNA from 1 species
GUCCACGCCGUAAACGAUGAGUGCUAGGUGUUAGACCCUUUCCGGGGUUUAGUGCCGCAGCUAACGCAUUAAGCACUCCGCCUGGGGAGUACGACCGCAAGGUUGAAACUCAAAGGAAUUGACGGGGGCCCGCACAAGCGGUGGAGCAUGUGGUUUAAUUCGAAGCAACGCGAAGAACCUUACCAGGUCUUGACAUCCCUCUGACCGCUCUAGAGAUAGAGUUUUCCUUCGGGACAGAGGUGACAGGUGGUGCAUGGUU